GAUGAACGCUGGCGGCGUGCCUAAUACAUGCAAGUCGAGCGAACAGACGAGGAGCUUGCUCCUCUGACGUUAGCGGCGGACGGGUGAGUACCACGUGGAUAACCUACCUAUAAGACUGGGAUAACUUCGGGAAACCGGAGCUAAUACCGGAUAAUAUAUUGAACCGCAUGGUUCAAUAGUGAAAGACGGUUUUGCUGUCACUUAUAGAUGGAUCCGCGCCGCAUUAGCUAGUUGGUAAGGUAACGGCUUACCAAGGCAACGAUGCGUAGCCGACCUGAGAGGGUGAUCGGCCACACUGGAACGGAGACACGGUCCAGACUCCUACGGGAGGCAGCGGUAGGGAAUCUUCCGCAAUGGGCUAAAGCCUGACGGAGCAACGCCGCGUGAGUGAGGAAGGUCUUCGGAUCGUAAAACUCUGUUAUUAGGGAAGAACAAAGGUGUAAGUAACUAUGCACGUCUUGACGGUACCUAAUCAGAAAGCCACGGCUGACUACGUG
rnacentral:rRNA from 1 species